GGUGUUUCUUCAGACCUUCUUGUUGUUACUCAGAGUCCUGAUGUUUCUUUCCAAGAAGGAGAGACAGGAAACAUCUCCUGCUGCUGGAAGGGAGAGGCAGAAAGAGGUUAUUGUGGAGAUACCAGUGUUAGCUCUAAUUGAAGGAAACGGUACGACCAUCAGAGUUACAGCGGCAGAGACCCCAGCUGUCACCACAGAUCAUCACGGGAAUCCAGAUGUUCCUCAACAAGAUGUUCUCACCAUGGUUCUGAGAUGCCUGCCCAUCCUGGUCUUCAUCGCAGCUUUCUUUUGACUAUACUGGUUUGGGACUAAAGCCCAGAGAGACACUACAGUUUCAGCUGCAUCUGAAAAUGAAGCCAAUUCAUCGCAAAGCAGAGAUGAACAGCAGGACACAAAGGAAGAACAUGAUGGAAUGAGAGAAGCAGCAGGAGAAUGAUGGAGAGACAAUGGGGUUGGAAAGGAUGCAGAGUAUGGUGCUCUGAUCCUGCAAUAUUAGUUUAUUUCAUAUACAACCUAU